ACCCCCCACGAGAAGGCCGGUUUUUCUCAAAGACGUUACGAGACCUACGACCACGAGACCGGUACACGACAUUGAAUCGGGUCGCAAAGGAGACCUCCGAGAGCUUGGCCUUAGCCAACCCCCGAAUGUCGAAUCCCCGGCUAAAAAGCAUAUUCCAUCUGGGCGAAAAGACGGAAACCGCCCUCCGUCUCUCCUGCGACCCUGUCCUCGAGCCACGACGCCCCCUUCCUUGCAUUAAUCCUCCUCCACAGUCCACACCAACCCUAUCUGCUGCAAUUUCUCUCCUCCUCUAUCCUAUCUUCUCCGAUCUGCUGCAUUUACUCCACAAUGGUCUCCAUCGCUUCCUAUUUAAGCCAUUCCCGUCCUGUUCCUCUUCGUCCCCAUCUUAUCCGGACUGAUCCCUGGACGGUGGUGUGAGCCUGAAGAAGAGGAGCUCGAUCCGCCGCUGCCCCGAGGUUCAUCUCUCUCCCAAAACCAGGUUUCCGUUCUUUUUUCCUUUGUUUUUUUUUAUAGAAAAAGUUAUAUAAGGAGUUUCGCUGAACUUGAUUCCCUGUCUUCUCCAUUUCCUUCUUCUUCGUAGUUUACUGCUUUCUAUAUAUGGAUGUGCAUUUUGUGUGAUCUUCCACGAGGAACAGGGAUGGUUGGAUCGGCCAUGGAAGCCAUGUGCUCUGCUUGCAUUAUUUUAUGCAUACUUUUUAUUUCCCGUCCAUAUUUUUUAUUAGUUAGUUUUAUGAAAAUUUCUAUAUAAAUUCAUCUACUAUUCUAUUUUCCCCUUACU